GUCAAAAUUAAGUACGGUUCAGUUCUGAUGUGGUGUGAUUGAUGUCUCCGUUCACGUAGCUGGAUGGCAUUUACCCUGCAAAGCGCUUUCCUGCCUUCUCUGAAAGAAGAAAGGCUCUUUGCUAGUUUGCAGGACCAGCAGACAGAGGCUGGCCUCCUGCCCCAGCGCUCCUCCUCGCCAUCUGCUGCAGCCAUGACAUGACACUUGCGAGACAGCCAGCCUCACGGUCACGGGAGCCGCUUCGACCCAGCACGCAGGGCAAGAGGGCUCUGAGCCUGUUGCUGAUGGUGCCAAGUAAGAUGUAUUUGGCUCCCAAGGAGCCACAAAGAGUUUGGACUUUCUUCCUCUCCUUGCUUCUGGCCGGGGCCAUGCAUCCUUCCCUCUCACUCCGGUCCCCUGGCGAUGUCACCCGCGACAGCUCCGACCUCCUGUGCCACACUUUCCUUCGCCUCUGAGCUGAGCCUGGGUCCUAAGCCAUCCCACGAGGCCGUGUUGGGACUGCACUCAAGAGCUGAAGAAGGGCAGAGAGUUUUGGGGUGCGAGCCAGUAUGUAGCAUAUGGCCGAGCGACCUGCCAAACACACGGGAGCAGGAUGUGUCCCAGAUAAGGGACUGCAGCCGCAUGGCGCUAGGAUGCUUGGUCCAAGAACUGCCCCUAAUGAUGAUGUCCCUGAGAGAGGACUGUUUUUUCGACUGUGCUGUUUUCUGCCAGAAUUAGAGGAGCACCAGACACCCGGCGGGGGCGGACAAUGGGUUUGUUCGGUACUUCUAAUAAAGCAUGAGACCCCCGAGCACCACAUUACACAGUUUUCUGGCUUCCUAGGCAUUAGUAACUGUGCAGUCCAAUCUGUAACGGAGGCUAGGACACACGGGCUCCCUCUUAUCCCUUUUAUUAAGGCGGACCCUGAUUUAAAGCACUAUAGCACUCAGGAGAACUUAGUGCUAAUAAACUCUUCCUGGUGAUAUACAGUACCUGGGCUUUAAAAUUUAUUGCAUCCCACCCUGAAGCAGCAGAAGGGCUGGGUUUUGUAUGCUAGCCCGAAACCAUAGGCCAUGCCACCAGCGAGACCAACUCCAUUCUCCAGGCAAAUCCUCUCUGAAAGCUUAAGACCAAACAGUGGCAAACUUUGUCGAACUCCUACUGCUUCCUACUAGUCCUGUUCCAGACAGCGCCGGGGCUACCGCACCCUCUUAGAUCUGCCGCUGCAUGUCCAGGAGAUAGAGGCUGCUCUUGCCAAAGCAGCUCUCUACCUGGCCCGGGCAGGUGCGUUAUAUGAAAGGCACUGGGAGACAGAAGGGAAGAUGCUACAAAUGUCCUCCUGUACAUGAGACAAGUGUUGUGGGGUUUUUUUUUCUAAAAUGGGGUAUCUGUGUUAUGCUAAAAACAGCCAAAUGUUGAGGAGGUAGAGGAGGCGAAGCAGAUUUUCAAGGGGAGUUGGAACAGCUUUUCCCAUCCUCUAAAUGGAGAAGCAGGAGCAGGACUUUAGGAACAGCACCAGCCCCGCACAUGUCCCUCCAGCUGCCCUAGAGCUAGCUCUGCCUUGCGGCUCGCUCUUUCUCACCCCACAAGUAGCAAAAAGGGGAAAUUAGAGGGCACCCAGAAAGGAAAGCACUAGCUGAGGAGGCAAACACAGAUGUCGCUGAAGGCUCGAAGC